CAAGCUAUGAUUAGAUCGAUUUUUAUUUACAUUAAAAAUUUAUUUGUGCAAUUCAAAUUAGCUUGA
rnacentral:tRNA from 1 species